AUUGAACGCUGGCGGCAUGCCUUACACAUGCAAGUCGAACGGUAACAGGUUAAGCUGCCGAGUGGCGAACGGGUGAGUAAUGUAUCGGAACGUGCCCAGUCGUGGGGGAUAACUGCUCGAAAGAGCAGCUAAUACCGCAUACGACCUGAGGGUGAAAGCGGGGGAUCGCAAGACCUCGCGCGAUUGGAGCGGCCGAUAUCAGAUUAGGUAGUUGGUGAGGUAAAGGCUCACCAAGCCGACGAUCUGUAGCUGGUCUGAGAGGACGACCAGCCACACUGGGACUGAGACACGGCCCAGACUCCUACGGGAGGCAGCAGUGGGGAAUUUUGGACAAUGGGCGUAAGCCUGAUCCAGCCAUGCCGCGUGCGGGAAGAAGGCCUUCGGGUUGUAAACCGCUUUUGUCAGGGAAGAAAAGGUUCUGGCUAAUACCUGGGACUCAUGACGGUACCUGAAGAAUAAGCACCGGCUAACUACGUG
rnacentral:rRNA from 1 species